rnacentral:rRNA from 1 species
UUAACGAGUUAGGGUCUUCCAGGCCCGACCUCCCAACCCUAUGUUUAUUGAACCUCUGUUGCUUCGGCGGGCCCGUCUCACGACCGCCGGAGGAGUCGCCGCGAGGCACCCUCUGGCCAGCGUCCGCCGAUAGCCAACCUCAAAACUCUGAAUGAAUCGUGUCAUGAUGUCUAAGUCUAUGAUUAAAUUAAAGCAAAACUUUCAACAACGGAUCUCUUGGUUCUGGCAUCGAUGAAGAACGCAGCGAAAUGCGAUAAGUAAUGCGAAUUGCAGAAUUCCAGUGAGUCAUCGAAUCUUUGAACGCACAUUGCGCCCUUUGGUAUUCCGAAGGGCAUGCCUGUUCGAGCGUCAUUAUCACCCCUCAAGCCCCGUGCUUGGCGUUGGACGGCCGGUCGAGCAAUCGACCCCUCCGAAAGACAAUGACGGCGGCCUGUGGUUCCCCCGGUACACUGAGCUUUUCACGGAGCACGUACCGGACGAGGGCGCCCGGGACCCGGUCUUCUCCUCUCAGCAGGAAACUUCUAAGGUUGACCUCGGAUCAGGUAGGAAUACGCGCUGAACUUAA